rnacentral:rRNA from 1 species
AUGAUAGUUCGGCUAUCCAGACACCCCUUAGUCCAGGACUCCCUCAGCGUCGCCCAUGGAGCUCGCGGUGAGGGCCGCGACGGCUUCCUGCUCCUGCUCCCCGUCGCUCCAUCCCCACGCGCCCCCUGCCUCCUUGGCCGCAGCCCGGGCCUGCCGCUGCCGGCUCGCCAGGUGACCGCCGCCGUGGCGGCAAUCGCCCUCGACCCGGAGAUCAAAACCGAGCUGAAUGACGCCUCAAAAAACGAGGUGUUCGCAUGCCCUGUUUGCUAUGAACCGCUGAUAAGGAAAGGGCCGCCAGGCAUGAACCUGCCAGCGAUUUAUAGGUCCGGAUUCAAGUGUUCAAAAUGCAACAAGUCAUUCACCAGCAAAGAUGUCUUCUUGGAUCUUUUCACCCAAUCAGGAUUGAAAGAAUACAGUGAACUCAAGACUGCUUGAACCGAGCUGUGCAGGAGCCCGCUUGUCUCCUUUCUUUGUGAGAGGGGGUGGUGUCAGAACUUCAAUCGGAGUGGCUUCCUUGGCCGUGACGAAGAGUUCCAAAUGUCUCAAGAUUAUUUCCAACCAUUUGCUGGUGGUAUAAUCGUUGAUGUCAACUGUGGCAGUGGCUUGUUACCAAAGAAGUUUGCAAGCUCUUGGGUAUACUCAGCUGUGAUUGCUUUGGACUUUUCUGAGAAUAUGUGCCAAUGCUAUGACUACAUCAAGCAAGACGAUACCACCCUGCAUAAAGCAAGCCAUGCCACUAUUUAUCAAGCAAUGUUGUGUUGUCCUGUCAAUGGUGGGCCCUGCAGCGAAUGGAAUGGUCAAGGUCCACUGAGUCCCCUCUUCGUGAGUAAGUAA